UACAGAGGGUGCAAGCGUUGUUCGGAAUCAUUGGGCGUAAAGCGCGCGCAGGCGGUCCUUUAAGUCUGAUGUGAAAGCCCACGGCUCAACCGUGGAGGGUCAUUGAAAACUGGGGGACUUGAGUACAGAAGAGAAGAGUGGAAUUCCACGUGUAGCGGUGAAAUGCGUAGAGAUGUGGAGGAACACCAGUGGCGAAGGCGACUCUUUGGUCUGUAACUGACGCUGAGGCGCGAAAGCGUGGGGAGCAAACAGG
rnacentral:rRNA from 1 species